GAGUUUGAUCGUGGCUCAGAGCGAACGCUGGCGGCAGGCCUAACACAUGCAAGUCGAGCGCCCAGCAAUGGGAGCGGCAGACGGGAGAGUAACACGUGGGAACGUACCUUUCAGUUCGGAACAACCAAGGGAAACUUUGGCUAAUACCGAAUACGCCCGUAAGGGGAAAGAUUUAUCGCUGAAAGAUCGGCCCGCGUCUGAUUAGCUAGUUGGUGAGGUAAUGGCUCACCAAGGCGACGAUCAGUAGCUGGUCUGAGAGGAUGAUCAGCCUCACUGGGACUGAGACACGGCCCAGACUCCUACGGGAGGCAGCAGUGGGGAAUAUUGGACAAUGGGCGCAAGCCUGAUCCAGCCAUGCCGCGUGGAUGAUGAAGGCCCUAGGGUUGUAAAGUCCUUUCGACGGGGAAGAUAAUGACGGUACCCGUAGAAGAAGCCCCGGCUAACUUCGUGCCAGCCGCCGCCGUAAU
rnacentral:rRNA from 1 species